UAGCCCGGGUUUCUCUUCAUUCACGCACAAAUCUUUCGCCUUUUACUAAAGAUUUCCGUGGAGGGGAACAUUGACGAGUUCUUAUAUUUUUGAGAAUUUCCCCAUUGUGGGACUC
ensembl:snRNA U5 U5 spliceosomal RNA